UACGGAGGGUGCGAGCGUUGUCCGGAAUCACUGGGCGUAAGGGGCGCGUAGGCGGCUCGAGUAGUCAACGGUGAAAGCUUGGGGCUCAACCCCGAGUCGGCCGUCGAUACUCUCGAGCUGGAGCACUGUAGAGGCAGGUGGAAUUCCGGGUGUAGCGGUGGAAUGCGUAGAGAUCCGGAAGAACACCGGUGGCGAAGGCGGCCUGCUGGGCAGUAGCUGACGCUGAGGCGCGACAGCGUGGGGAGCAAACAGG
rnacentral:rRNA from 1 species